AGUUAAUAAAUCCAGAAAGCCUUAUGUUUUGAAAGCAUAAAAUUAGGGGUUUAAAUCCUCUAUUAACUU
rnacentral:tRNA from 1 species